rnacentral:rRNA from 1 species
GACGAACGCUGGCGGCGUGCUUAACACAUGCAAGUCGAACGGAAAGGCCUCUUUCGGGGGGUACUCGAGUGGCGAACGGGUGAGUAACACGUGAGUAACCUGCCCUUGACUUUGGGAUAACUUCAGGAAACUGGGGCUAAUACCGGAUAGGAGCUCCUGCUGCAUGGUGGGGGUUGGAAAGUUUCGGCGGUUGGGGAUGGACUCGCGGCUUAUCAGCUUGUUGGUGGGGUAGUGGCUUACCAAGGCUUUGACGGGUAGCCGGCCUGGGGGGGUGACGGGCAAAAUGGGACUGGGAUACGGCCCAGACCCCUACCGGAGGCCGCAGGGGGGAAAAUUGCACCAAGGGUGGAAGCCCGAUGGCGGAAAGCCGGGGGCGGGGUGAACGGCCUCGGGUUGGAAACCGCGUUCGCUCAUGACGAAGCUUUGUGUGACGGUAGUGGGUAAAGAAGCACCGGCUAACUACGUG